GGGUCAGUAGGUUGGUCGUGCCACCGGUACGUACUGGUCUCACUGAUUCCUCCUUCCUGAAGAACCGUAAUGCCAUUAAUUUGGUGUUGCGGGGAAACAGGACUGUGACUUUGAAAAAAUUAGAGUGUUUAAAGCAAGCUAACGCUUGAAUACAUUAGCAUGUAAUAAUGAAAUAGGACGAUCGAUCCUAUUUUGUUGGUUUCUAGGAUUGACGUA
rnacentral:rRNA from 1 species